UGCCGCGUGCAGGAAGACGGCCCUACGGGUUGUAAACUGCUUUUGCAGGGGAAUAAACCUCGAUAUGUAUAUCGAGCUGAAUGUACUCUGAGAAUAAGGAUCGGCUAACUCCGUGCCAGCAGCCGCGGUAAUACGGAGGAUCCAAGCGUUAUCCGGAUUUAUUGGGUUUAAAGGGUGCGUAGGUGGUCUAUUAAGUCAGGGGUGAAAGACGGCAGCUUAACUGUCGCAGUGCCUUUGAUACUGAUGGACUUGAAUAAACUAGAGGUAGGCGGAAUGUGACAAGUAGCGGUGAAAUGCAUAGAUAUGUCACAGAACACCAAUUGCGAAGGCAGCUUACUAUGGUUUGAUUGACACUGAGGCACGAAAGCGUGGGGAUCAAACAGGAUUAGAUACCCUGGUAGUCCACGCCCUAAACGAUGAAUACUCGAUGUUGGCGAUAUACGGUCAGCGUCUAAGCGAAAGCGUUAAGUAUUCCACCUGGGGAGUACGCUCGCAAGGGUGAAACUCAAAGGAAUUGACGGGGGCCCGCACAAGCGGAGGAGCAUGUGGUUUAAUUCGAUGAUACGCGAGGAACCUUACCCGGGCUUGAAAGUUAGUGAAUUGAGCAGAGACGCUCAAGUCC
rnacentral:rRNA from 1 species